AUUGAACGCUGGCGGCAUGCCUUACACAUGCAAGUCGAACGGCAGCACGGGGCAACCUGGUGGCGAGUGGCGAACGGGUGAGUAAUGCAUCGGAACGUACCUUUCAGUGGGGGAUAACGUAGCGAAAGUUACGCUAAUACCGCAUAUUCUGUGAGCAGGAAAGCAGGGGAUCGCAAGACCUUGCGCUGAUUGAGCGGCCGAUGUCAGAUUAGCUAGUUGGUGAGGUAAAGGCUCACCAAGGCGACGAUCUGUAGCGGGUCUGAGAGGAUGAUCCGCCACCCUGGAACUGAGACGCGGUCCAGACUCCUACGGGAGGCAGCAGUGGGGAAUUUUGGACGAUGGGGGCAACCCUGAUCCAGCCAUGCCGCGUGAGUGAAGAAGGCCUUCGGGUUGUAAAGCUCUUUCGGCCGGGAAGAAAUCGCACGGGCUAAUACCCUGUGUGGAUGACGGUACCGGAAUAAGAAGCACCGGCUAACUACGUGCCAGCAGCCGCGGUAACAC
rnacentral:rRNA from 1 species